CACCGGCCCAAGUUUCCUCCCGGCUUCCCCCUUGUGGAGCCUGCGGAAACCUCGCUCUGCCCAGGCAGGAGGGGAAGCCUUGCCCUCACUGUUGGAAAUUGAAGCUGGCCUGGGCUGGGUGGACAGGAAGGUCUUCGGCCAGGGCAGGAGCCCCCAUCCUCGCCCUGACCCUAGCGGAGGGACAACACCCCCACCACGCACCCGCUGCGCCAUGAGCAAAGUCUGCGGCCCCUCACUCGGCGCGGCUCCGGGAACACUGGGGCGGGGGUGGGUGAUUCAGUCCCCCACCCCCGGGUGUCCUGACUCCCUGGUGGCCCUGGGCUGACAGCUCCACACCUUGGGAGGCCGCACCCCCACCUGCCGCAUUUCCUCGUUCUGAGUCACCCUUGCUCAGAACGCUUGACUUUGGGACUUCCUGUCCGCACUCGCGGCCCCUAACCUGCCCCGGGAGCCCGGGAGUGCGGCUUGGGAAGGAGGGAAAGGAGUGUGUGAGCAGGGAUUGGCCCGAACCUAUCUCCACGCUCUCCCCCGGGACUGGAGGUGAAGGGGGGCGUGGAGAAAAUCUCAGGGAACAGGGGCUUCGACAGGGGGCUCCCGCCCGCCCGAGCCCCCUCCCCAAAAUGCGAGGCCUGCACAGUAUGCCUUCUCCGCAAAACCUCGGCAAGCGGGUUAGUGAAUUCAGGUCACUAAGAAGCUGAGCCCGCGGAAAGCUGCCCAAACACCCCCUUCUCUAGGGGACUCCCCACGCCCCCCGCCGGGACGCGUUCCCGAAGUCGCCGCCUGGACUGCAACCGCGUGGCCUGCGCCGCGUCCUCUUCUCCGCAGCCUCCGAGGCCCGUGCGACCAAGCUGAAACCGCUUAUUCUCCGGAGCCCCUAUGACCCCGGGUGGGGGCCAGGGCUCGCCUCGAUCGCAGCCCGUGCGCCCUCCGGACUCCAGUUCGCCGGGACUGGGCGACACCAGAAGCGGCUAGUGUGAGUGAAACAAACGGGAAAUUUGCUCUGGCCCGCCUGCCCAGCCACCCACGGCUGCCUGUUGGCCAAUCACCAUUUGACCAGUCCAGGAAGAGCAACUGUGGCAGGCCUGAUUUCCUGGGAGGCCCCAGACUCCCUUUGCCUACCUCUUCCUCUCUGACCCCAUCCUCGCUUUGAUGCCCGGGACCUGCUACCCAGGUACGUGGGUCUUCUCUGCCGGAUGUGGACAUCUUGGCCUCUCGCCUUGGUGCCUACUCUUGGGAAGCGGGUCCAGACAUCUCUCCUGCAGGAAGAGAGGAAGGGUUAAUUACAGGCGUUGGGGAUAAUUAAAGCCUUUGACCAAGAGGAUGGGAGGAGAGCCUUGGUCCUCUGAGAGCCUGUGAGUGUGCAAGUGCCUGUGAGAAUAAGUGCAUGUGUAUGAGGGUGUGAGAUUUUGUUGAAUGUGCAUUCGUGUGUAUAGACAUGAGAGUGUUGAUGUAUGUAUGACUGUGUGUGAAGUCUUUCCCGCUCUAGGUGACUGGGUGCUAAGGAGGAAAGUUCUUCAGUGAGUCUUAUAAAGCGGCACCAAAACGCGGUAUUUAUAGUGACAUAAUCAGCCCUAAUGGAGAUGGAAUUACCCCAUAAAGGCCCCAAGGAGCCCUCAGGGCCUCAGCGCCACUGCAGCAGACAAGGCUCCUGUACAGGCAGGUGGAGCCCGAGUGAGUGUGUGUUUGUGUGUGACUGCCUCUCCUGCCAAUCCCUGCCUCCGGCCCACCAGCCUGCUUAGGGGCCCACCUUUGCUAGGACUUAGCUGGGGCUGGGUACUGGGGGCAAGGAGAUGACAAAGGUGAAUGCUGAAGCCAUGGCCUCACUUACCCCACCUUUGAUCUGUGCCUGCCUUUGGCCAAGAGCAUCAGAAAAAAAAUAAUGCGGCCUGGGCAAUACAGUGAGACCCCAUCUCUACAAAAGAAAAAAGAAAAAAAAUUAGCUGGGCAUGGUGGUGAGCACCCGUGGCCUCAGCUACUCGGGCGGCUGAGGAAGGAGGAUUGCUUGAGCCUAGGAGGUCAAGGCUGCAAUGAGCCGUGAUUGCACCACUGCACUCCAGCCUAGGCAACCAAGUGAGACCCUGUUUCAAAACAAAAUUUUUUUAAAAAAAGAAAAGCAAAGAAAAAAACUGUAGCCAAUACUUAUGAAGCACUACUAUGUGCCGGGCCCAGUUCUAGGCACUUAUCUGUACUGAUCCACUUAGUUCUCAUGACACCUUCAGGGAGGUGGCCACUGCUCCUGCCCACAUUUUGCAGAAGAGCAAAUUUGGAAGUAAAAUUUGGAGCUGGCAUUCUGGCCCAGACAGGCUAGAUCCAGCGCGCACUCUCAUGGGUACCUGCCUCAACCAUUGCCUCUGAAUUCCACUGAACCUGGAGAGCAGUGCCCCGUCCUGGAAUGUGCCAACUCUCCGCAGCUGGGAUCUUUAAGGUCAGUCUAAUUACUACCUCUUGGGUGAAACCCCCAGGGAUCAGGCCCCCCCUAGAGCCCCAGGGGCCUCCAUGCUACAUGCCUACCAGCACCCUGCUCUCAACCAACUGAACUCUUUUUUGUUUUUCAAAGCCUCUGAACUAUCUUCUCAACUAGACUGUAAAUCCCUCAGAGGCAGGGUAUGAAUCCAGCAACAGGUAGAACAGUUCCCCA
rnacentral:lncRNA from 1 species